GGAUAGCCCAGAGAAAUUUGGAUUAAUACUUAUAAUAUUUUAAUCGAUUGAUUGAAUCUUAAAGAUUUAUCGGUUAGAGAUGGGAUGCGUGACAUUAGCAGAUGGUAAGGUAACGGCUUACCAUGGCGACGAUGUCUAGGGGUUCUGAGAGGAAGAUCCCCCACACUGGUACUGAGACACGGACCAGACUCCUACGGGAGGCAGCAGUGAGGAAUAUUGGUCAAUGGACGCAAGUCUGAACCAGCCUGCCGCGUGAAGGAUGACUGCCCUAUGGGUUGUAAACUUCUUUUAUAGAGGAAGAAACUUAUCACAGUAGAUAACUGACGGUACUCUACGAAUAAGGACCGGAUAACUCCGUGCAGCAGCCGCGGUAAUACGGAGGGUCCAAGCGUUAUCCCGGAUUUAUUGGGUUUAAAGGGUCCGUAGGCGGGGUUUUAAGUCAGUGGUGAAAUCCUACAGCUCACUGUAGAACUGCCUUGAAACUGGAACUCUUGAAUGUGAUUGAAGUAGGCGGAAUAUGUCAUGUAGCGGUGAAAUGCUUAGAUAUGACAUAGAACACCGAUAGCCAAGGCAGCUUACUAAGUCAUAAUUGACGCUGAUGGACGAAAGCGUGGGGAGCCAACAGGAUUAGAUACCCCUGGUAGUCCACCCCCGUAAACGAUGAUUACUAGCUAUUGGCGAUAUACAGUCAGUGGCACAGCGAAAGUGUUAAAGUAAUCCCCCCUGGGGAGUACGAUCCCCAAGGUUGAAACUCAAAGGAAUUGACGGGGGCCCCGCACAAGCGGUGGAGCAUGUGGUUUUAAUUCCAUGAUACCCCAGGAACCUCUACCAGGGCUUAAAAUGCAUAUUGACACGCGUAGGAAACUAACUUUUUUUCUUCGGAACAACUUUGCAAGGUGA
rnacentral:rRNA from 1 species